AUGUAUGUAUGUAUGAAAUGUGUAUGAACAUACGUGUGUAGGUACUUAUCCAUGAAGUAGGAUUUGUUGUGCAUGAAAGAAAGGAUCUUGUAUAUAUGCUUAUAUAUAUGGCUCUAACAUAUUUGAAUGGUCAUGUUACUAAUGGCGUGCCAUGGUGAAUGAAGUGUAACGCAGGAAUAGCAGAGAAGUCUCACCGCGGGUCGUAUGAUCAGAUGGAAAGCCGGAAUGUAGUACGAGAUACGAAGGAUCUUCAAGGGAUAGAGAUCAAGGACCGAGUCACAAGACAGAUUGUACGGGAACGUUGGUGUUGAAAUUUAGAAAACCCAUGUCAUGUAUUUAAUUGUAAAUGAGUCGGUUGAUGACUUCAUGUGAAAAAGUUGUGUUAAAAUGAAAUUUUAAAUAAGUUAAGGUAUUUAUAAUGAAAGAAAUUUUAUGGCUUAAACUUCCGCUGCGACUUUUUGUCAAUUACGAGUUAGG
rnacentral:lncRNA from 1 species